GGGACAGGAGUCUGGAGAGCACUUUAAUACACUACACCUGCAACCCAGAUGGUGCAGGGCCAGAGGCAUCUGCUGCAGAUGGUGCUGCGCCUGUAAAAUUUAAGUGCAAAAUGACCCAGCUGUAGAUAUGGCUGUGCCUCCUUCAUGCCGAGCUGUUAACCUGGAGAUGGAAGUGUCAUUCCUUGCCUCUGUGUGAUGUACUUUCCCCUCUCCCUAGACUUCUCAGCAAUGCAAGAGCAGAGUGAAUAGAAUGGCUUCCAACCAACAGACUGCCGUGAGCGAAGAUAAUAUUGUAGCCUUCAGAAAACACAUGGAUAAUUAUACAUCUGGGGAGCUAAAGAGGCUGAGCGAGCAUUUCCGCCCUGACUUGGUCUACGUCAUAGAGAACGACAUUCUCACUGUGCUGCAGGAACUCACCA
rnacentral:lncRNA from 1 species